rnacentral:rRNA from 1 species
GUGAGGAAUUUUCCGCAAUGGGCGAAAGUCUGACGGAGCAAUGCCGCGUGAAGGAUGAAGGCCUAUGGGUUGUAAACUUCUUUUCUUAGAGAAGAAUAUUGACGGUAUCUGAGGAAUAAGCAUCGGCUAACUCUGUGCCAGCAGCCGCGGUAAGACAGAGGAUGCAAGUGUUAUCCGGAAUGAUUGGGCGUAAAGCGUCUGUAGGUGGCUUCAAAAGUCUCCUGUCAAAGAUCAGGGCUUAACCCUGGGCCGGCAGGAGAAACUCUGAGGCUAGAGUUUGGUAGGGGCAGAGGGAAUUCCCGGUGGAGCGGUGAAAUGCGUAGAGAUCGGGAGGAACACCAAAGGCGAAAGCACUCUGCUGGGCCACAACUGACACUGAGAGACGAAAGCGAGGGGAGCAAAAGGGAUUAGAUACCCUGGUAGUCC